rnacentral:rRNA from 1 species
GUGAGGGGAGUGAAAUAGAUCCUGAAACCGCAUGCAUACAAGCAGUGGGAGCACCUUCGUGGUGUGACUGCGUACCUUUUGUAUAAUGGGUCAGCGACUUAUAUUCAGUAGCAAGGUUAACCGUAUAGGGGAGCCGUAGAGAAAUCGAGUCUUAAUAGGGCGUUUAGUUGCUGGGUAUAGACCCGAAACCAGGCGAUCUAUCCAUGAGCAGGUUGAAGGUUGGGUAACACUAACUGGAGGACCGAACCCACUGUCGUUGAAAAGCCAGGGGAUGACUUGUGGAUAGGGGUGAAAGGCUAAUCAAGCCUGGUGAUAGCUGGUUCUCCCCGAAAGCUAUUUAGGUAGCGCCUCGGACGAAUACCAUAGGGGGUAGAGCACUGUUUCGGCUAGGGGGUCAUCCCGACUUACCAAACCGAUGCAAACUCCGAAUACCUAUGAGUACUAUCCGGGAGACAGACUGCGGGUGCUAACGUCCGUAGUCAAGAGGAAAACAAUCCAGACCGCCAGCUAAGGCCCCAAAAUCAUAGUUAAGUGGGAAACGAUGUGGGAAGGCAUAGACAGCUAGGAGGUUGGCUUAGAAGCAGCCACCCUUUAAAGAAAGCGUAAUAGCUCACUAGUCGAGUCGGCCUGCGCGGAAGAUGUAACGGGGCUAAAACUAUGUGCCGAAGCUGCGGAUGUAUACUUUGUAUACGUGGUAGGGGAGCGUUCUGUAAGCCGAUGAAGGUGUGUUGAGAAGCAUGCUGGAGGUAUCAGAAGUGCGAAUGCUGACGUGAGUAACGACAAAACGGGUGAAAAACCCGUUCGCCGAAAGACCAAGGGUUCCAGUCCAACGUUAAUCGGGGCUGGGUGAGUCGACCCCUAAGGCGAGGCCGAAAGGCGUAGUCGAUGGGAAAAUGGUUAAUAUUCCAUUACUUCUGUGUAAUGCGAUGAGAGGACGGAGAAGGCUAAAUCAGCCUGGCGUUGGUUGUCCAGGUGAAAGGAUGUAGGCAUGUAUCUUAGGCAAAUCCGGGGUACUCUAUGCUGAGAUCUGAUAGCAAGCUGUACUUGUACAGCGAAGUGGUUGAUGCCAUGCUUCCAGGAAAAGUCUCUAAGCUUCAGUUACACAGGAAUCGUACCCGAAACCGACACAGGUGGUCAGGUCGAGUAGACCAAGGCGCUUGAGAGAACUCUGCUGAAGGAACUAGGCAAAAUGGUACCGUAACUUCGGGAGAAGGUACGCUGUUGUUGGUGAUGGAACUCGCUUCCUGAGCUGACGACAGCCGCAGAAACCAGGCCGCUGCAACUGUUUAUUAAAAACAUAGCACUCUGCAAACACGAAAGUGGACGUAUAGGGUGUGAUGCCUGCCCGGUGCUGGAAGGUUAAUUGAUGGGGUUAGCGUAAGCGAAGCUCUUGAUCGAAGCCCCAGUAAACGGCGGCCGUAACUAUAACGGUCCUAAGGUAGCGAAAUUCCUUGUCGGGUAAGUUCCGACCUGCACGAAUGGCAUAAUGAUGGCGGCGCUGUCUCCAGCAGAGGCUCAGUGAAAUCGAAAUCGCUGUGAAGAUGCAGUGUACCCGCGGCUAGACGGAAAGACCCCGUGAACCUUUACUGCAGCUUGACACUGAACUUUGACCUUACUUGUGUAGGAUAGGUGGGAGGCUUUGAAGCUGGAACGCUAGUUCCAGUGGAGCCGUCCUUGAAAUACCACCCUGGUAAUGUUGAGGUUCUAACUCUGUCCCGUGAUCCGGGACGAGGACCGUGUCUGGUGGGUAGUUUGACUGGGGCGGUCUCCUCCUAAAGAGUAACGGAGGAGUACGAAGGUGCGCUCAGCGUGGUCGGAAAUCACGCGUAGAGUAUAAAGGCAAAAGCGCGCUUAACUGCGAGACCCACAAGUCGAGCAGGUACGAAAGUAGGUCUUAGUGAUCCGGUGGUUCUGUAUGGAAGGGCCAUCGCUCAACGGAUAAAAGGUACUCUGGGGAUAACAGGCUGAUACCGCCCAAGAGUUCAUAUCGACGGCGGUGUUUGGCACCUCGAUGUCGGCUCAUCUCAUCCUGGGGCUGAAGCAGGUCCCAAGGGUAUGGCUGUUCGCCAUUUAAAGAGGUACGCGAGCUGGGUUUAGAACGUCGUGAGACAGUUCGGUCCCUAUCUACCGUGGGCGCUGGAAAUUUGAGAGGAUCUGCUCCUAGUACGAGAGGACCAGAGUGGACGAACCUCUGGUGUACCGGUUGUGACGCCAGUCGCAUCGCCGGGUAGCUAUGUUCGGAAGGGAUAACCGCUGAAAGCAUCUAAGCGGGAAGCCUACCUCAAGAUAAGAUUUCCCUAGGACUUUAUGUCCUCUAAAGAGCCGUUCGAGACUAGGACGUUGAUAGGUUGGAUGUGGAAGCAUAGUGAUAUGUGAAGCUGACCAAUACUAAUUGCUCGUGAGGCUUGACUAUACAACACCCAAGCAGUUG